UACAGAGGUGGCAAGCGUUGUUCGGAAUUACUGGGCGUAAAGGGCGCGUAGGCGGCCUUGUCAGUCAGACGUGAAAUCCCCAGGCUUAACUUGGGAACUGCGUCUGAUACUACAAGGCUGGAGUUCGGGAGAGGGAUGUGGAAUUCCAGGUGUAGCGGUGAAAUGCGUAGAUAUCUGGAGGAACACCGGUGGCGAAGGCGGCAUCCUGGACCGAAACUGACGCUGAUGCGCGAAAGCCAGGGGAGCAAACGGG
rnacentral:rRNA from 3 species